rnacentral:rRNA from 1 species
GUGGAUUAUACCCCAGUAGUCCACGCCGUAAACGAUGAUAACUAGCUGUCAGGGCACAUGGUGUUUUGGUGGCGCAGCUAACGCAUUAAGUUAUCCGCCUGGGGAGUACGGUCGCAAGAUUAAAACUCAAAGGAAUUGACGGGGGCCUGCACAAGCGGUGGAGCAUGUGGUUUAAUUCGAAGCAACGCGCAGAACCUUACCAACGUUUGACAUCCCUAUCGCGGAUCGUGGAGACACUUUCCUUCAGUUCGGCUGGAUAGGUGACAGGUGCUGCACGGUCGUCGUCAGCU